rnacentral:rRNA from 1 species
GCGGCAGGCCUAAUACAUGCAAGUCGAACGGUAACAGGUUCUAAAGCAAUUUAGAAUGCUGACGAGUGGCAAACGGGUGAGUAAUACAUAUGAACUUUCUCUAAGCAGAGGAUAGCCAGUCGAAAGAUUGGGUAAUACUCUAUGUGGCCGAAAGGUUAAAGUUUAAUACACUUAGAGUGAGGCAUAUGCCCCAUCAGCUAGUUGGUAAGGUAAUGGCUUACCAAGGCUAAGACGGGUAGCUGGACUGAGAGGUUGAUCAGCCACACUGGGACUGCGACACGGCCCAGACAUCUACGGAUGGCAGCAGUAGGGAAUUUUCCGCAAUGGGCGAAAGCCUGACGGAGCCAUGCCGCGUGCAGGAUGACGGCCCUAUGGGUUGUAAACUGCUGUGGUAGCCUACCAAAAAAAUGAGGAGGCUAUUAGAAAGAGGUUGCUAACUCUGUGCCAGCAGCAGCGGUAAUACAGAGACCUCGAGCGUUAUCCGGUAUCACUGGGCGUAAAGCGUACCGAUCGGUUGUUUAGUGUGUCUAAAGUGAAAGACCGAAGCCUAACUUCGUGUUUGCUUUGGAAACUACUAAACUUGAAGGGCAAAGAGGUGGUUGGAACUCUGCAAGUAGGGGUGAAAUCCGUUGAUAUGCAGGGGAACACCAAAAGCGAAGGCAGACCACUAGGUGCCUCUUGACACUGCUAGGACGAAAGCGUGGGGAGAGAACGGGAUUAGAUACCCCGGUAUUCCACGCCCUAAACGAUGAGUGCUAGUUUUUGGGGAAAGUUAAUCUUCCUCGGAGACAAAGCUAACGCAUUAAGCACUCCGCCUGUAGAGUACGAGCGCAAGCUUAAAACAUAAAGGAAUUGACGGGAACCCGCACAAGCGGUGGAUCAUGUGGCUUAAUUCGAUAAUAAGCGAGGAACCUCACCUAGGUUUGACAUGCAACUGCACGACUAAUGAAAGUUAGUUUCUUUCGAAGGUGUUGCACAGAUGAUGCACGGUCGUCGUCAGCUCGUGUCGUGAGAUGUUCGGUUAAGUCCGGUAACGAGCGCAACCCCAAUCCUUAGUUAUUUAAUGUCUAAGGAGACUGCCCGAGCUUAAUCGGGGGGAAGGCUGGGAUGACGUCAGAUCAGCGUGUCUCUUACAUCU